rnacentral:rRNA from 1 species
CCUACGGGGUGCAGCAGUGAGGAAUAUUGGUCAAUGGGCGUAAGCCUGAACCAGCCAAGUCGCGUGAGGGAUGAAGGUUCUAUGGAUCGUAAACCUCUUUUAUAAGGGAAUAAAGUGCGGGACGUGUCCGGCUGUGAGAGUACCCGAAGAAAAAGCAUCGGCUAACUCCGUGCCAGCAGCCGCGGUAAUACGGAGGAUGCGAGCGUUAUCCGGAUUUAUUGGGUUUAAAGGGUGCGCAGGCGGAUUUUUAAGUCAGCGGUCAAAUCGUGGGGCUCAACCCCAUCCAGCCGUUGAAACUGGGGAUCUAGAGUGUGCGAGAGGUAUGCGGAAUGCGUGGUGUAGCGGUGAAAUGCAUAGAUAUCACGCAGAACCCCGAUUGCGAAGGCGGCAUACCGGUGCACAACUGACGCUCAGGCACGAAAGCGUGGGUAUCGAACAGGAUUAGAUACCCGAGUAGUC